GAUGAACGCUGGCGGCGUGCCUAAUACAUGCAAGUCGAACGAGUGGCGGACGGGUGAGUAAUGUCUGGGAAACUGCCCGAUGGAGGGGGAUAACUACUGGAAACGGUAGCUAAUACCGCAUACCAUCGGAUGAGCCCAGAUGGGAUUAGCUAGUAGGUGGGGUAACGGCUCACCUAGGCGACGAUCCCUAGCUGGUCUGAGAGGAUGACCAGCCACCAUGGAACUAAGACACGGUCCAGACUCCUACGGGGGGCAGUAGUGGGGAAUAUUGCACAAUGGGCGCAAGCCUGAUGCGGCCAUGCCGGGUGUAUGAAGAAGGCCUUCGGGUUGUAAACCGCUUUCGGCCAUGACGCGGUAGUGGCAGAAGAAGCACCGGCUAACUACGUGCCAGCAGCCGCGGUAAUAC
rnacentral:rRNA from 1 species